rfam:Marinobacterium sp. AK27 ATG5_contig_8, whole genome shotgun sequence.
GGAGUCUGCCAGACAAUCGCUGCUGCGUUCGCGCAGGGGAGGAAAGUCCGGGCUCUGCAGGGCAGGGUGCCAGAUAACGUCUGGGCGGCGUGAGCCGACGGAAAGUGCAACAGAAAGUAUACCGCCUAAGCAGUCUUCGGAUUGCCGGUAAGGUUGAAAUGGUGCGGUAAGAGCGCACCGCGUGGGUGGUAACACUCCACGGCGAUGGAAAACCCCACCCGGAGCAAGACCAAAUAGGGACCCUUAAGGCGUGGCCCGCGCUGGGUCCGGGUAGGUUGCUGGAGGCCUGUGGUGACGCAGGUCCUAGAUGAAUGAUUGUCCACGACAAAACCCGGCUUAUCGGCAGACUCCCUUC